rnacentral:lncRNA from 1 species
GAUUUUGGAAAAAACACAAGAAAACCCCUCAUAUUCUUCUUCUUCAACGGACAACACAAAGAAAAACCCCAGGAACACGCCUAAGACCCCAAGUCGUUUACCCCAUCUACACCUCCAUUCUUCCUCACCUCACAACAACCUAACGCCAAACUACAACCACCAACAACCACCGGCCGGAUCUCCCUUCAACUCAUGCUCCAACAACUAAAAGAACCCUAACGAGAAAACACACUCUAGUUCCCUAAGCUGAUAGACGCAACACCCUUUCCAAAGAGAUGGAUCUUCUUAGACAAAAACCCUAGCAACUAAGCAGCCAAUGAGUUGUUGCUUCAUCUUCUUCAUCGAGAGACCACUAAUAUACCCAGGCGAUUUCUCUGCAACUACAAAAAUAAAGCUCGCUGAAGCCAACUCUCGCCCUUUACAUGGUCGUCGAUGCCGGAGGUGAUGACCGGCUACAGCCAUGACUGUUUUUGUUGUGCCUAGCCGUUGCUUCUUACCUUCCUCCCCCUCUACUAUCUUUGUCUCAUCAGAGUCGUAUUGUCAAUGAUGAACGAAUAGAAAACAGUCAACUAUUUCAUCACUAUUCGUCUCGUGUGCUUUACUUCUAUGGCGGAUGGGUUUAGAUCUAACAGGUUCUGGAUUUUGUACGUUUUGCACCGAGUUUGACCGAAAUCAGUUCUCUGGCAAUUCCACGUGUGUGUCGUUUGACUGUUACUCCAGAGUCGUCAUCGUUGUGGUAGUGGCAUUAUUGACUCCAGCGAGAUUCGAGGUUUGAACCGUAAUUUCGUUCGAGGUUUCCAUUUUUGGACCAGUUAACAGUGACUAAUUCCAUUUUUACGAAGGAGCAAUGUGAGAUUUACUUCUUUCAUUUUGUUUUGUUUUGUUACGACAUUUAUGAAUGGUUUUUGUUCAGUUGUUGCUCUUGCUUAUCUUUCAUUAUGUAGUCCUAGUUAACUUGGUCCAUUUUGUCAUGAGUUGAUCUACGGAUUCAUGCUUGAGCUGAGCAUUCACUGCUUGAUAUGGUUACAUAUUGAUUUGCCAUCUUCCUUUUUUAGAGUUAAUAUAUAUGAAUCAUGUUUAAUUUAAAAGAAGUUUAGGUUGGUAGUAGUUGUUUGUAAUUAUUCAUGUUACUGUUUAAUUCCUUGA